rnacentral:rRNA from 1 species
GUCCACGCCGUAAACGAUGGAUACUAGCUGUUGGGGGCAACUUCAGUGGCUAAGCGAAAGUGAUAAGUAUCCCACCUGGGGAGUACGUUCGCAAGAAUGAAACUCAAAGGAAUUGACGGGGGCCCGCACAAGCGGUGGAGCAUGUGGUUUAAUUCGAUGAUACGCGAGGAACCUUACCAAGGCUUAAAUGUAGAUUGACCAUUUUUGGAAACAGAACUUUCGCAAGACAAUUUACAAGGUGCUGCAUGGUUGUCGU